GAAGCCAUGCAUGCCCGCUCACCCGGCACGCGGCGGACGGCUCAGGACGACGGUUGCACCCCCCGCGGCGGUCCCUGCUAGCCGGACACCGCUGGCCACCCGGCGCCAAGACGUGCGCGCAGGGGC
rnacentral:rRNA from 1 species